rnacentral:rRNA from 1 species
GAUGAACGCUGGCGGCGUGCCUAAUACAUGCAAGUCGAGCGAAUGGAUUAAGAGCUUGCUCUUAUGAAGUUAGCGGCGGACGGGUGAGUAACACGUGGGUAACCUGCCCAUAAGACUGGGAUAACUCCGGGAAACCGGGGCUAAUACCGGAUAACAUUUUGAACCGCAUGGUUCGAAAUUGAAAGGCGGCUUCGGCUGUCACUUAUGGACGGACACGCGUCGCAUUAGCUAGUUGGUGAGGUAACGGCUCACCAAGGCAACGAGGCGUAGCCGACCUGAGAGGGGAGUCGGCCACACUGGGACUGAGACACGGCCCAGACUCCUACGGGAGGCAGCAGUAGGGAAUGUUCCGCAAUGGACGAAAGUCUGACGGAGCAACGCCGCGGGAGUGAUGAAGGCUUUCGGGUCGUAAAACUCUGUUGGUAGGGAAGAACAAGUGCUAGUUGAAUAAGCUGGCACCUUGACGGUACCUAACCAGAAAGCCACGGCUAACUACGUGCCAGCCGCAGCCGUAA